rnacentral:rRNA from 1 species
UACGAAGGGUGCAAGCGUUACUCGGAAUUACUGGGCGUAAAGCGUGCGUAGGUGGUCUGUUAAGUCUGAUGUGAAAGCCCUGGGCUCAACCUGGGAAUUGCAUUGGAUACUGGCAGGCUAGAGUGCGGUAGAGGAUGGCGGAAUUCCCGGUGUAGCAGUGAAAUGCGUAGAGAUCGGGAGGAACAUCUGUGGCGAAGGCGGCCAUCUGGACCAGCACUGACACUGAGGCACGAAAGCGUGGGGGAGCAAACAGG